UACGGAGGGUGCGAGCGUUGUCCGGAAUCACUGGGCGUAAAGGGCGCGUAGGCGGCCUGAUAAGUAGGGGGUGAAAUCCUGCGGCUUAACCGCAGGGCUGCCUUCUAAACUGUCAGGCUAGAGCACAGUAGAGGCAGGUGGAAUUCCCGGUGUAGCGGUGGAAUGCGUAGAGAUCGGGAAGAACAUCAGUGGCGAAGGCGGCCAUCUGGGACAACACUGGCGCUGAAGCACGAAAGCGUGGGGAGCAAACAGG
rnacentral:rRNA from 1 species